rnacentral:rRNA from 1 species
AUUGAACGCUGGCGGCAGGCCUAACACAUGCAAGUCGAACGAGUGGCGGACGGGUGAGUAAUGUCUGGGAAACUGCCUGAUGGAGGGGGAUAACUACUGGAAAAGGUAGCUAAUACCGCAUACCCUAAGAUGUGCCCAGCUGGUAUUAGCUAGUUGGUGGGGUAACGGCUCCCCAAGGCGAAGAUCCCUAGCUGGUCUGAGAGGAUGACCAGCCACACUGGAACUGAGACACGGCCCAGACUCCUACGGGAGGCAGCAGUGGGGAAUAUGUCACAAUGGGCGCAAGCCGGAUGCAGCCAUGCCGCGUGUAUGAAGAAGGCCUUCGGGUUGUAAAGUACUUUCAGCGGGGAGGCGUUACCCGCAGAAGAAGCACCGGCUAACUCCGUGCCAGCAGCCGCGGUAAUUC